CCUGUAUUCUCGUUCAAGUCACGCGUUAUUUCUGUUCUUUGUCACGUGAGUCAGUGCGGCCUAUCGCGUGUGAUUACUAUAGCGCUGUGAUUCAGUCUGGGAAGGUGCAGUGGGGAAGCUAGACGAGAGACGAGCUACAGGAACCCUCUACCGCGCUGAAAUCUGCGAAGAACGUGUUUAUGUGGGGCAUAAACUGUCGACUGGCCAGGUUCUGAAGGAUGGCGAGCUAAAAGGAGCAGGCCGAGAACCUACAGAUUGCAGAGGCAGUGAGGAGUCGCUUGUCCUGCCAGGCUGGUAGGGGGUUUCAGUAGCCCACCAAAAAAAAAAACUCUAUCCCACUCAUUCCGCCCACGACACCGUCACAUUCCUCACCACAAACUCUUCCACUAAUAUCCCCGUUGGACUCAACUUAAACCCAGACGUGGGUUUUCAUGAACUGUGGGUGGGAUGCUUUGGUUAUGGUUUUGGUUUUGAGUUUUACCUAAACUUGAGUCUAUGAGACUCUAAAGAACGCUACUGUCGAACUCUUUUGACUUGUCAUUGUGAAUGCUGCCUAUCGCACAUUGUAUAUAAUUGAUUGUUAAUUUACUUGAAUGGCCAUUCUUAGGAGGUGUUUCCUCAAUAUUGUCACUGUAUAUAAUUGCACUUUAUUUUUUCCAUUCAAUAUAUGGUAUAUUUAAAAGCAAUUUCAGCCUCCUGUCCACUCUCUCCAUGAGCGAAUCCUAGACUUCUGAUUAUUAGCCUAAUAUAGCUUAC